ACGGUUUAUGCGAUCAAAUUGAUGCAGUUUUGUACGUUGACUUCGCAGCAGGUCUUCGAGCCUCGUUGAGCUGAACGUGUACUCGUUGAAGCUGGUUUGGAAGUUGUUCUACCCUAAGCAAGAGGGUGUUUGACCCUUGGACCGCCUUCGUUUGGCCUUGGAGGGCCUUCUGGAAGCUUAACGUGAGGAUUGCGACCUAGUGGAGCUGAUCCUUGGAACUCCUUGGACUGUU